rnacentral:rRNA from 1 species
UACAGAGGUCCCAAGCGUUGUUCGGAUUCACUGGGCGUAAAGGGUGCGUAGGCGGCCGGGUAAGUCUGAUGUGAAAUCUCACAGCUUAACUGUGAAACUGCAUUGGAUACUAUCCGGCUAGAGGAAUGGAGGGGAGACUGGAAUACUUGGUGUAGCAGUGAAAUGCGUAGAUAUCAAGUGGAACACCAGUGGCGAAGGCGAGUCUCUGGACAUUUCCUGACGCUGAGGCACGAAAGCCAGGGGAGCAAACGGG